rnacentral:rRNA from 1 species
GAUGAACGCUGGCGGCGUGCUUAACACAUGCAAGUCGAACGAUGAACCGGGUGCUUGCACUCGGGGAUUAGUGGCGAACGGGUGAGUAACACGUGAGCAACCUGCCCCUGACUCUGGGAUAAGCGCUGGAAACGGCGUCUAAUACUGGAUAUGUCCCGUCACCGCAUGGUGUGCGGGUGGAAAGAUUUUUCGGUUGGGAUGGGCUCGCGGCCUGUCAGCUUGUUGGUGGGGUAAUGGCUCACCAAGGCGUCGACGGGUAGCCGGCCUGAGAGGGUGACCGGCCACACUGGGACUGAGACACGGCCCAGACACCUACGGGAGGCAGCAGUGGGGAAUAUUGCACAAUGGGCGGAAGCCUGAUGCAGCAACGCCGCGUGAGGGAUGACGGCCUUCGGGUUGUAAACCUCUUUUAGCAGGGAAGAAGCGAGAGUGACGGUACCUGCAGAAAAAGCACCGGCUAACUACGUGCCAGCCGCCGCUGUAA